GUAACCUCAAACAUUCAGUGUCAGACUCACAUUCCUAUUUGAAAUGCUGGCCUGAAAUAAAAAGAAUUCCAAUCUCAAGUCUAUUUAGGUUGGGAUCAGCAACCCCAUUAGUUCCAAACAAUAUUUGCUUGCAGUUGGGGCCAAGAUGAAAUGUUUAAAGACCUUUUGUCAAGAGCUUUACACUAUGCAAUAUCAGUUAGUAGCUGGGUGGCUCCCAUAUCCAGUUGACAAAAUAACAAAGGUAAGAACAAAUCAUUUCAACCUUUGCCAUGUCCUCUUGGUCAUGUGCUUGCAUGCUAUGCCAUUGUUUUCUCUUCUGUCUGACAAGAGUCAUAAUAGAUCAUAUUUGACUUCAACGUCUGAAAACACUUGGCCAUGUUCAUGCUGAUGGCUAUGUUUAUACAAUCAGUUAAUAUUUUCAUUUUUUAUUGUGCUGUAUUGAAGUGAAUUCACAUGUCAUAGCGUAACAGCAUUUCAUUUGAAUCUGGCCAUUUCAGAGUUUGAUAAACUUUUCAAAAUGUGAAGUAAGCGAUGCUGCCUAUGACAGGCAAGGCAAUAUACACAGACUUGUGUAUAUAAUAUUAUAAUGACGUUCGUUUUCUGCAAAGGACGAAUGUGCUCUGUGUUAAGGUGAAAUCCUGCCUACUGUUUCGAGAACAUCAAGUUGAGCCAUCAUUACGUGGUCACAUACCCAUUUUGAUCUAAGAUGUUUACUACCAGAAUACUCCACUACCAGUUCUGUCAGCCAGGUUAAUUUGAAGCUGUUUUUGUCCAAUGCAAAUAAACAUUUCGACUUGCUGCAUGCCAACUGCAUAAAUUGGGAAGUGACCUUGCUUGCAUGGUUAUUGUUUUAGGAGAAAUUUAGUAACUUACUGUCCUCGAAUCAACACUUAUAAUUUUACAGACAGUGCAAUAACAUUUAUUUUUUAUUUCAAGGUCUGGCAUCCUGGUUAAUUCACAGCUGGUUCUGUCCAAUGUAGAACAUUUCGGCUGACCUUGCUGCUUUCUAACUGCAUUAAUUGGGAAGCUACCUUUCUUGCACAUUUACAAAAGUUUGUUGUUUCAUUGCUUCAUAUCUGAUUUGUUUCAUAGGUUUCGUUGAGGCAAGACUGAUAUUGCCAAUGAUGCUGCCAGUCUAAUGCUGUUGCCUGCCUGUUUUAAGGAAUACUUGAUCAAAAUCGAAUUUUCGACGGUGAUUUUGAUUUUUUUUUUUUUUUUUUGUUAUACGUUGAGUGGGUUCUUUAUUUGUUACUAAGUGUGUGGUUUUGAGUUCAGAAAGCUGCUUGUUUUGUUUUUUUUUUUUUUUAUUAUUUAGCUUUUUUUUGCGUCGCGCCAGAAUUUACUUUGUCUUAGGUCUAUAUGGAAUGGUAAGUGGUAAUGAUAGUGGGAGAGGGGUGUUUACGUAUGCUGCCACGUUCCGGGGGCGUUUAGACCAGGUACAAGGAUUAAGACAAAUAGAUAGGUAAGUACAAAUCACCGCAAAGAAAAAGGAAUUAAUUUAAAGAGACCCUAACAUCACAAGAAGUAACAAAAAAUUCGUCUAAGCCGAGUCCUAAGGUAAACACAGUCCAUCUAGUCAGACGUUGAAACGUUAGUCUCUCCAAAUAUUAUUUAUCCGUCGAUGGUUCGAUUAUCAAUUAUCCAUCAUUCAGUUUUUAUUUUAUAACUCGAUAUUUUAAGUGCAGAAUAAUGGAAAAACGGGGAGGAAGGGAUUGAAAGCGGCGGCCAUUUUGAAAUUCAUUUUCUCUCUCCACCACAACCCGGAGAUUUACAUAUAAACUAGUCAAAAUUGAAGACUAGUGAAUCUUUCUUCAUGUUUAUUAAUUCAGACUUAUUAUUAUACAAGUCAAAUUUUUAUUGUUAAUUUAUUGUAAAUGGGGUAUGGGGAAGAGACCACAUUUAAUCUGUAACUACUUUCUCCAAAACGUUCGUUUACAGACAGGACAGGAUUGGUACCUUUGAUACAAAUCGUAUUGAUCCUAACGGAUCAAUAGAAUAACUGGCGUCUGGCGAUCGAAGUUGAUGGAAGGCUGCCGAGAUUUGGGUAUGAUUUGACUUGGCCAGAACUGACGGAUCUGUCAACGUGUCGUCAGGGAGACACAGCACAAAAAUGGCUGGCAACUUCAUGUCUUCCAUAAGCUUGCUUUUCUAUCUACAAUUAACUCCCAUUUAGAUACAGCUGAUGGGUGCCAAGGAGACUAUUUAUCCAUGAAGGACAUCAUGGAUGGUUGCUGGGACUUUUAAUUCCCGAAAAUUGCACCUUCCGCUGACCACUUUUCCCAGUCAUCCAUAAUAGUAUUUCCGGUUUCAAGGCGUGGCACCUUGUGCAAGUAUAAAUAGUCGAGCUAGAAACAGUCCAGCAGUAGCAGUUCCUCAACUGACAAGCAGCUUUGCCAAUAAGCUCCUCCACUUGAAAGCGAUCGAAAAUGAAAUUCGUGAUUGUGUAGGUUUGUUUAAUGGCUGUGGCCGCUGCCGUUGACGAGAAUAAACCGGAUGAUGCGGAUCUCAACACCAACAUCGAAGAUCCAGCCGAUCUGGACGUCGAUGACUGGCACAGUCGCCGUUACUUUGGCCACUAUUACAAUCCCUACGGCCACUACAACCCCUACAGAUACGGCAAACAUUGGCGUGGCCGACGAUCCGCCGCUGAAGACAUCCAGCAACCGGAAGCGGAAGCUAUUCCAGUCGCCGACCAAGACGCUAACGAGCACCGCCGUCGUGGCUACUUCGGCCACUACUACAAUCCCUACGGUUAUCGCAACUACGGAUAUGGCAAAUACUGGCGUGGCUAUUCGUGGCAUUAGAAAUAACAUUCAAAUCUAUAUGAGUGGGUUCUAUAUAAAUGGCUAUCGAUACUUUCAUGUUUUAUUACCUCCCAUUGUUGACCUAACUGGAAUUUGAAAUUUCACUUGGCAAUUCCGUCAUAAUAUUACGCUUCAAAAUGUUGUUUUAACUCUGGAAACUGGAUCUGCUAAAGGUGUUUUGUCAUAUUGCCUUUAGAUUUUCUUUUAAUAAACUUCUUUCAGCAAUAA
rnacentral:lncRNA from 1 species